GAUGAACGCUGGCGGCGUGCCUAAUACAUGCAAGUCGAGCGAACGGACGAGAAGCUUGCUUCUCUGAUGUUAGCGGCGGACGGGUGAGUAACACGUGGAUAACCUACCUAUAAGACUGGGAUAACUUCGGGAAACCGGAGCUAAUACCGGAUGAUAUUUUGAACCGCAUGGUUCAAAAGUGAAAGACGGUCUUGCUGUCACUUAUAGAUGGAUCCGCGCUGCAUUAGCUAGUUGGUAAGGUAACGGCUUACCAAGGCAACGAUGCAUAGCCGACCUGAGAGGGUGAUCGGCCACACUGGAACUGAGACACGGUCCAGACUCCUACGGGAGGCAGCAGUAGGGAAUCUUCUGCAAUGGGCGAAAGACUGACGGAGCAACGCCGCGUGAGUGAUGAAGGUCUUCGGAUCGUAAAACUCUGUUAUUAGGGAAGAACAUAUGUGUAAGUAACUGUGCACAUCUUGACGGUACCUAAUCAGAAAGCCACGGCUAACUACGUG
rnacentral:rRNA from 1 species